UACGGAGGGUGCAAGCGUUACUCGGAAUUACUGGGCGUAAAGCGUGCGUAGGUGGUUCGUUAAGUCUGUCGUGAAAGCCCCGGGCUCAACCUGGGAAUGGCGAUGGAUACUGGCGGGCUAGAGUGCGGUAGAGGAGAGUGGAAUUCCCGGUGUAGCAGUGAAAUGCGUAGAGAUCGGGAGGAACAUCAGUUGCGAAGGCGGCUCUCUGGACCAGCACUGACACUGAGGCACGAAAGCGUGGGGAGCAAACGGG
rnacentral:rRNA from 1 species